rnacentral:rRNA from 1 species
GAUGAACGCUGGCGGCGUGCCUAAUACAUGCAAGUCGAGCGAACAGACGAGGAGCUUGCUCCUCUGACGUUAGCGGCGGACGGGUGAGUAACACGUGGAUAACCUACCUAUAAGACUGGGAUAACUUCGGGAAACCGGAGCUAAUACCGGAUAAUAUAUUGAACCGCAUGGUUCAAUAGUGAAAGACGGUUUUGCUGUCACUUAUAGAUGGAUCCGCGCCGCAUUAGCUAGUUGGUAAGGUAACGGCUUACCAAGGCAACGAUGCGUAGCCGACCUGAGAGGGUGAUAGGCCACACUGGAACUGAGACACGGUCCAGACUCCUACGGGAGGCAGCAGUAGGGAAUCUUACGCAAUGGGCGAAAGCACGACGGAGCAACGCCGCGUGAGUGAUGAAGGUCUUCGGAUCGUAAAACUCUGUUAUUAGGGAAGAACAAAUGUGUAAGUAACUAUGCACGUCUUGACGGUACCUAAUCAGAAAGCCACGGCUAACUACGUG